rnacentral:rRNA from 1 species
CCUACGGGAGGCAGCAGUGAGGAAUAUUGGUCAAUGGACGAGAGCCUGAACCAGCCAAGUAGCGUGAAGGAUGACUGCCCUAUGGGUUGUAAACUUCUUUUAUAUGGGAAUAAAAUGUUCCACGUGUGGGAUUUUGUAUGUACCAUAUGAAUAAGGAUCGGCUAACUCCGUGCCAGCAGCCGCGGUAAUACGUAGGAUCCGAGCGUUAUCCGGAUUUAUUGGGUUUAAAGGGAGCGUAGGUGGAUUGUUAAGUCAGUUGUGAAAGUUUGCGGCUCAACCGUAAAAUUGCAGUUGAAACUGGCAGUCUUGAGUACAGUAGAGGUGGGCGGAAUUCGUGGUGUAGCGGUGAAAUGCUUAGAUAUCACGAAGAACUCCGAUUGCGAAGGCAGCUCACUGGACUGCAACUGACACUGAGGCUCGAAAGUGUGGGUAUCAAACAGGAUUAGAUACCCUUGUAGUC